ACCAUGAAAGAUCUAGGGAAAACAUUCAAGAUUGAGGGAGGAGCGGCGGAGACUCACCUUGGCCGACAAUGGGAGAGAAAAAGCUCACCCGUGCGGACCAAAGGGACCCUUUUAUAUGUGGCUGGCCAGGCCACGUUCGGGGGCCGAAUGUGCCUCCGUAUCCAUGCAAUGUUCGGCGGCCGAAAGUCAAGUUCGGCGGCCGAACCUGGGUUUUCCUUCAAGCUACAUUCAUGCAAAAACUCAUUUAAUUUCUUACUUAAAAACAUGAAAUACAUGAAAACAUUUCA
rnacentral:lncRNA from 1 species